rnacentral:tRNA from 1 species
CGCCGUCGGGGCCGCCGGCGACGCAGAGAACGCGGUCGUCGGUCGCGACGACGAACGUCGCGUAGUUGCCGGUGGUGUGUUCGACGCGUUCGCCGGCGC